CCCAGUCUGAUGUCCCCUGUGCCCGAGAAACAUGAUCCAGAGAUGUCCUUCAUGGAUUAAGUCAUUGAAGAUGACUUACACAAACAGUUUUAAAGCUUCAAAAUUUAUUGCUGUACAUUUUCUCAUAGCAUUUACUAUGGAAAUACUAAUAGUGCAAAUAUUUAUUUUGGACUUCAUAGCAUUUGAGAAAUCACAAAGCUUGUUUAUAUCUUUGCAAUUAUUUAUGAAGAUCUAUAUUAUUUUAAAAAUCCAAACGAGUAAUCUUAUAUUCAAAGAGAUUGUAUAACACUCUCUAGAUCUCCUCUUUAGACCAAAAAAAAAAAAAAAAACACCCUGGAAGCCACCAAGGGCAUUUCUUUCCUUUAUAAUACAUACAGCUUCUAACACUUUUCCAACUGCAUGACUCUUGUUCAUUCACAGAUUCAUUCAACAAAUAUUUAAUGACAAGCUAUUACGUGCCAGGCACUGGGCUAGGCUCGGGGAACAUGAGGAUGAAAAAGCACAAUCUCUGCUUUUACGGUGCUUACAGUCUAAUAGUAGAAACAGACAUGCAAAAAAAAAUUACAAUACAAUACAAUAAAGUGCUUCCAUGGAGGUAUUUACAAAGUGCGGUGGGAACAGGGAAGGCGGGAAAGAACAUCUGCCUGAAGAAAUCAGGGACAGCUUCACAGAGGAGGUAGCCAUUGAGCUGAGACUUCAUCAAUGAUUAGGAAUUCACCAUGUAGACGGGCAGGCAAAGGGUGUUUCAGGCAAAGGGAACAACAGGUACAAAGACACAGAGUUGAAUGUAAAUCAGAGGAAGGCUAACGAGG
rnacentral:lncRNA from 1 species